rnacentral:rRNA from 1 species
UACGUAGGUGGCAAGCGUUGUCCGGAUUUACUGGGCGUAAAGGGCGUGCAGGCGGUCUGUUAAGUGCAGGGUGAAAGCUCCCGGCUCAACUGGGAGAGGUCCUUGCAUACUGGGCGGAGCUUGAGGGGGGUAGAGGAAAGUGGAAUUCCCGGUGUAGUGGUGAUAUGCGUAGAUAGUCGGGAGGAACACCAGUGGCGAAGGCGCUUCCUGGCCUGUUCUUGACGCUGAGGCGCGAAAGGCUAGGGUAGCAAACGGG